GUUAAUAAAUGAAUCACUACUUAGUCAAGUAUAUUGUUUGUUGUGUUUAUUAUAUAUUGCCUUGGAAUUACAUAAAUUAAUAAAUGGAAUAAGUUAGAUAAAGUCAAUUAUUAAAAUAAAAUAAAUAAGUUACUGCUCAUUGCCCUGAGACAUGCGAACCAUGGCUGCAGUGAAUUGCCUAAGGAUGUCAUUUCUUUCUUUUUGAAAAGCUAUCGUUUCUUUUUGUAAUUUAAUGAUUUCCUCUAAUUUGUCAUCCAAUUUGUCUUUUUUUGUUUUCGGCUUCACCGGUGGCGUAGUCAUGGUAGCUGAAGUUGAUGGUGUUUCCUGAUCUGGUGGUGGUGGUGGGGGAGGGGUUGUGAAUGUUGGGGUUGAGGAGAUGACUACUGUGGGCUGCACAGCUGGGUCGCCAGCAAAAAGUUCUUCCAGCACGGCAAAAUACUCCCACUUUCGCCGGCCCUGUCCUGUCUUCCCAUGCCCAUCACUGUUUUGCUUACCUGUGCCUAAGGUUCCUCCACUUGUUGUCACACAUCUGCCAUGUCACAUUAACUGCUUCCUUUCUGAGGCACUCCGCAACCAUCUCCCAAGCUUGUUUUUUUUUUAUGGUGGGACACUCAAACUUCUCCCUAAGAGACCUCCAGGUCUCUAUGAGGAGCAAAACAGCGGUGUGGGGCCAGUUAUCUGGAAUGUAAACAAACAAGACAACAUUUGACACUCUUCUACACUCUCAAGACAGUCACACUUAAUAAUACUAGACUAGUUGCAUGUUCAAAACUAACCCCUAAGUUAAUGAUGUUGACGCAGGAAUGUGGUUUCACAUGUUCUUAUCAUCACAUGCUGAAACCGACUUCUAUUAUUAAAGGUUGUAUCAGCGAUGUUUGGGUGUAGUCCGGUGACGUUCUGUUGGUAUUUGAAGCAAGCUCCCAAACAAACAGAGUCGGCUGGCCCCUCCCUUCCGUGUUUCAUGCAUCCAGCAAAAUCUAUGAUGAACGCAGCACAAAAAAAACACAACACCCACCCCUUGUCAGUGAUUGGUUGGAAUACUAUUUAUUUCGGUUUUGAGUGGUUGGUAGAGCAAGGUACGUUUUAUUACUCUGUUUUCUGGGAAUAAUUGACGCAAGCAGAAACCAGAAAACAAGCCGUUUUUUGUUUUUUCGUUUUGACAAGAAAACGAGAAUUCAAGAUUUCAGUUCGUUUAUUCGUUUCUACGUUUUGUCAAAAAAACGAAAAUCAAUAUUUCAGUUCGUUUAUUCGUUUUUUGGUUCUUACUGAGCGAAACGAAUUUACCACUCAAUAUCUGGUUUCCGUCGGUGGGCGGGUCCUCUUAUUGGCUAGCGUGCUUCAUUGCCCUGUGCUCUUCAUAAUAAAAGUUCUUCCGUUUGAUAAUGUCGACAAAAAUAUUACUUUAUCAUAGACACUAGCAGACACAGAGGACCACACCACCCACAGUCAAGACUGACACGGCUUCAAAUAACAAUAAUAGUGUUCAUAAUCAUUUGACAAUGAGAACUUAAGAAGUUAUGAUGACUUCAAUGCAGUUGAAGUUUAUCCACAGUUAAUACAUGCAGAAUAGACCUGAGGGCUUUACUACGACAUCAUUGUCCGGCUCUGAACUAUGCGCUCUGUACGCGUUCACAUCAAAGGAGCUGAGAUCGCGGGCUGCUGAUUUCCUCACAGCCUGAGAGCUAUGAGGAAUCCAAGUGAUUACAACACAUUUCUGACAGCUGCACAUUGCGCAGGGCUCUCCGUGAGACGCACGCAAUUCAACCCAUGCACACGCUCACACGCCACACAACUUGCGCCGCUAUUUGACAGUGGAAGGGUAGGAAUCAAAUGCGUCCGGGUGAAAUUUCAAAAUCGUCCGGGAUUUUAAUAAAGCCUCAAUACAUGUUCACAUUUUAUUUGCGUUGCGUUCCUCUGGGUCUGUCACAAACUAGUUGGGCUACGCCCUCCCAUACUCAGUUCUGUUCGCUUUGCAUUGGUGGAAGUGAGUAGGGGGAGUGGUUAAGUAAAGCCUUCAGAUUGGACGGUUUGACUUUAGAGUUACCGUCAUGUUUUGUAUUAUAUUUUUUUACCAUUAUUGUUUUAUAGGGACAAACAUUAACACAUUUCUCCUGCAGGGGAUUGAUAAAGUUCUAUCUAUGUAACAGAAGCGAACACUUACUCAUACUCCAUCAAAUAUUCAUAUUCACUCAUACUUUGCACACUUUACCACAGCAUUGGCCUACUGAAUGCCACAGAUAUAUUUUUAAGCAUUGGACUGAAUGCCGCGUAAAUAUAAUAUAUGUUUUGCACGUUUGCAACGUUUAAAAGUUCAGGGAAAGUAUAUGCCUCUACUGGUGUUGCUUAGACCAAUAUCCUUUUGAGGCAGUGUUGUUUCUGAAUAUUAGUGUUAAGGGUCAAUAAGGCCUACUAUCAUACAUUAGUCACCAUGUCUGUGAACAAAUUUGUAUGCAGUUACAUAUUAAUAUAUCCCUUGGGCUGCUUCUGGGUGGAUUUUGAACGGGAUGUGGGCAGGACGCAGGGUUGCCAGGUCCUGCCUGCAAAAAACGUCCUGCCCACAUCCCGUUCAAAAUGUUGAACGAUGUUGAUUUAAAGAGGUAGGGUUAUUU
rnacentral:lncRNA from 1 species